GGUUGUGAGAUUAGAAGCUGCUUGGUCAGAGACUAACAAGAACGGCAGACUGGGAUGAAUAGUGAUGAACCAUGAACAGAGUAUCCCGGGAAUGAGAGGAGUAAGUUUUAUUUCCUCUGCACUAGUGGCGAAGGGCCUAUAUUGCGCUCAGGGAUGUGGUGGCUACUUGUCGGAACUUAGAAUUAAGAGCGAUGUGAUUUGAGUUUGACUCCACCCAGUUAAUCAAAGCUCUAUGGAAUCUUGUCUGACAUCCUGCUAAUGUCAAAUGAAUUUGAAUCUUU
rnacentral:lncRNA from 1 species